AUAGGAGUGGCAGGGGUGAUGGGUGCCUGGGGAAUGUCGUGAUGACGCGUUCUGGGCGACGAGGAGGUGAACUAGUGAACCCAGUUUGAAGACGAUGAUUGUGGACCUCGAAGGCAGGGAAAUGCAACUUGCAGGGCGUCAGAAUACAAAGCACGAGGUGCUUAAUUAGAUACCAUCCCUGAUAGUGAAAGAAGGGAGGAGAUGAGCACAAAAAAGCUGACCGAAUGGAGGGGAGAGUGCAGGCUUUGCGAACUGGCACCCGAGAUUUGCUACCAUCUGCAACACGCACCUCUCCCGAAUCUUCUCAGGGUUCUCCUCCAUUUGCCGGAAUUCGCACAUCUUUCCUCGCCGUACAUUGGAUACUUGGCAGAUAGAUUUUAGCGGCGUGAGAUUUCAUUCGCGGAUUCCGGCAUUUCGGAAGAAAAU
rnacentral:lncRNA from 1 species